rnacentral:rRNA from 1 species
UACGUAGGGUGCAAGCGUUAAUCGGAAUUACUGGGCGUAAAGCGUGCGCAGGCGGCUUUUCAAGUCUGCCGUGAAAUCCCCGGGCUCAACCUGGGAAUUGCGUUGGAGACUGCAAGGCUGGAGUCUGGCAGAGGGGGGUAGAAUUCCACGUGUAGCAGUGAAAUGCGUAGAGAUGUGGAGGAACACCGAUGGCGAAGGCAGCCCCCUGGGUCAAGACUGACGCUCAUGCACGAAAGCGUGGGGAGCAAACAGG